UAUACGAAAAUCAAACGAUUUUCGUUUGCUUUUUCUGAUUAUUUCUGCUUUAAGCGUUUGCCUUUACGUCCCGGCUCAAACUUUUUUUUCUGACCACCAGAUGUCGCUUCCAUAACAAUCCUCCCAUUUCUCUAUGCAUAAAUUUUAAUCGCAGAAAUAUUUCUCAGAGAGAAAUAUCCCAGUAAUUACACCAUGAGAAAUAUCCUUGUGCGUAAAGAGGGAGAAACGUGAAAAUACCUAAAACUUAAUUGUUUGAUAUUUUAUUUAUUUCUGAGUGUAUAAUUGAUUUUUUUUUAAAUUUUUAUUUCUUUUGUUUUGUUUUCAGGAAGAAAAUGGUUGGCGGAUUCAAACGCAUAUCUACCAAACCCGUUUUCCACUGAUUCCGUGAUGACAAAGAAUGAAAAUUUCAGCAGCAGCCGGCUUAUUUUGAUGCUGUUUUGCCCGGUUAUUUAAACUGGGCCGUAGCAGUGGAAAGUGAAGGCCCCUGAACAACAGCCGGCCGGCAAAUCGGAUACCAUUAGUGGUAUGAAUAAGGUUUAGCAAUUGCUUCGGUAGCUUUUACUUUGCUCGAAAUCAAUCAAAGCAAAAAUCCAAAGCAUUUGCUUUGUUCGGACGAGGAAAUAAAAAAACCGCUUUUGAAGCAGUUGUAGCAGAGCAUUAAAAGUAGCUCAAACUAAAAAAGAAUUGAAUUUAUUAGUUUGAGGAAAGUUAAGAUAAAUUUUACCACUUACAAUAAAUGGUUUUCUUCCUCGGAUUUGGCCGAACAAUCUUGGCUCAAUUGGCCUUCUACUAGGCGCGCCUAAAAGUACAAAAAUUAUAAAUAAACAGUUGAGCUAACAAGAAAUUAUCCGGACUUACGGUUUAGAUCGACUUCCGGAUCUAUAAAACCACGAGUAUUAAAGGGUUUCUUCCCCUGCCUUUUGCCCAAAAAGUGAGGCACAGUUAGCCUUCUGCUAGGCUCGCGAUACAGUAGCGAAAACAAAACUACUUCACACGAAAACCUCAUUAAUUCGCGACUAAACUUGCUAAUUUAAUAUUAGCGCUUCGGAAUAACAAUUUUACUACCGUUCUCUUCGACUAGUGAAAAAACGUUGUCCUAUCUCAACCGUCGAUUCUGUCACUUUGACAGAUGCGGCAAAACUUCGCCGCGCUCACUGGUUCGGCGGCGUCGCUGCUCGGUCCAAGGAUGCCAGCGGUGCCAACAUCGCCCCCGCCCGUAACUCUAGUGCAGGGUCCUUCACCUGACUGGAUUUACGACCAAUCUCCAACACCGCAAGCUUGUUCACAGGACGACGCAGCUCCUUCCCAUUCGCCAAACGCACCACAGCU